rnacentral:rRNA from 1 species
UACGUAGGGUGCGAGCGUUGUCCGGAAUUAUUGGGCGUAAAGGGCUCGUAGGCGGUCUGUCACGUCGAAAGUGAAAACUCAGGGCUUAACCCUGAGCCUGCUUCCGAUACGGGCAGACUAGAGGUAUGCAGGGGAGAACGGAAUUCCUGGUGUAGCGGUGAAAUGCGUAGAUAUCAAGAGGAACACCAGUGGCGAAGGCGAGUCCCUGGACAACUUCUGACGCUGAGGCACGAAAGCUAGGGGAGCAAACAGG